UCAUGGCGUCCCCCUCCCAGGGGUCAGGCGCCUACCGGCAGUCGCUGGCGUGGCGCGUGUAAUGCGUUGUUUCAAGAACAGCGGCAACCAAAUCAAGCAAACGGCGUAAGUUAAAAAACCAUAAGAAACUGCAAA
rnacentral:sRNA from 1 species